GGAAUAUUGGACAAUGGGCGCAAGCCUGAUCCAGCCAUGCCGCGUGAGUGAUGAAGGCCCUAGGGUUGUAAAGCUCUUUCACCGGUGAAGAUAAUGACGGUACCUGAAGAAGAAGCCCCGGCUAACUUCGUGCCAGCAGCCGCGGUAAUACGAAGGGGGCUAGCGUUGUUCGGAUUUACUGGGCGUAAAGCGCGUGUAGGCGGACUUGUAAGUUGGGGGUGAAAUCCCGAGGCUCAACCUCGGAACUGCCUCCAAAACUACAAGUCUGGAGCAAGAUAGAGGCAAGUGGAAUUGCGAGUGUAGAGGUGAAAUUCGUAGAUAUUCGCAGGAACACCAGUGGCGAAGGCGACUUGCUGGAUCUUUGCUGACGCAGAGACGCGAAAGCGUGGGGAGCAA
rnacentral:rRNA from 1 species